rnacentral:rRNA from 1 species
UACAGAGGGUGCGAGCGUUGUCCGGAAUCACUGGGCGUAAAGGGCGCGUAGGCGGUCUGCUAAGCGUGUGGUGAAAGCUCGGGGCUCAACCCCGAGUCGGCCGUGCGAACUGGUGGACUGGAGCAUGUCAGAGGCAGGCGGAAUUCCGGGUGUAGCGGUGAAAUGCGUAGAUAUCUGGAGGAACACCGGUGGCGAAGGCGGCAUCCUGGACCGGCAUUGACGCUGAGGCGCGAAAGCCAGGGGAGCAAACGGG